rnacentral:lncRNA from 10 species
UGGGCAACAUAGAAAACUUUGUCUCUUAAAAACAAAUUGUCAAAAGUUUUCUUUAUGAAAAAUAUUAAAUCAUCAGGCUUUUUAAAUGAUAUGAUUUUUAGAUUAAGACAAUCUUGCCUCACUGUUGAUGGCUGCUGAAUGAUCGGUGUGGUGGUUGCUGAAGGUUAGUGUGGCUCUAGAGAUUUCUUUAAAUGAGACAACAAGGAAGGCUGCAACAUCAACUGACUCUUCCUUUCCGAAAGAUUUAUCUGUAGCAUGUGUUGCUGUUGGAUAGCCUUUUACCCACAGUGGAACAUUCUUCAAAAUUGAAGUCAAUCCUCUCAAACUCUGCUGCUGUUUUAUCAACUAAGUUUAUGUAAUAUUCUAAGUCCUUUGUUGUCAUUUCAACAAUGGUCACAGGAUCUUCACCAGGAGUAGUUUCCAUCUCAAGAAACCACUUUUGUGGCUCUUAUAUUAGAAGCAACUCCUCAUUUGUUCACGUUUUAUCAUGAGAUUGCAGCAAUUCAGUCACAUAUGCAGGUUCCACUUCUAAGUCUAGUUAUCUUGCUAUUUCCACCACAUCUGCAGUUACUUCGUCCACUGAAGUCUUGAACCCCUCAAGAUCAUCCAUCAGGGUUGAGGUCAAUGUCUUCUGAACUCCUGUUAAUGUUGAUAUUUUGACCUUCUCCCAUGAAUCACAAAUGUCCUUAAUGGCAUCUAGAAUGAUGAAUCCUUUCCAGAAGGUUUUCAAGUUACUUUGUACAGAACAACCACUAUGGCAGCCACAGCCUUACAAAAUGUAUUCCUUAAAUAAUACUUGAAAGUCAAAAUUACUCCUUGACCCAUGGAGUAAUGGAUCCUGCAGAAUGGAUGUUGUUUAGCAGACAUAAAAACAUUAAUCUCUUUGUACAUCUCCAUCAGAACUCUUGGGUGACCAGACACAUUAUCAACGAGCAGUAAUAUUUGGAACUAAAUUUUUUUUUUUUUUGAGACAGUCUCACUCUGUUACCCAGGCUGAAGCACAGUGGUGCAACCUCAGCUCACUGCAACCUCUGCCUCUGGAUUCAAGCAAUUCUCCUGCCUCAGCCUCCCAAGUAGCUGGGAUUACAGGCACACACCACCACAUCCAGCUAAUUUUUGUAUUUUUAGUAGAGAUAGGGUUUCUCCAUGUUGGUCAGGCUGGUCUCAAACUCCUGACCUCAACUGAUCCACCUGCCUUGGCCUCCCAAAGUGUUGGGAUUACAAGUGUGAGCCACCACACCUGACAGAAUUCUUUUUUCCUAAUAUUUAGUAGGUCUCAACAGUGGGCUUAAAAUAUUCAGUAAUCCAUGCUGUAAACAGAUGUGCUGUCAUCCAGGCUUUGAUCUUCCAUUUCUAGAGCACAGGCAGAGUGGAUUUAGCAUAAUUCUUAUGGGCCCUAGGAUUUUCUGAAUGGUAAAUGAGCAUUGGCUUCAACUUAAAGUUACCAGCUGCAUGAACCCCUAACAAGAGAGACGAGCUGUCCUUUGAUGCUUUUAAGCCAGGGAUUAACUUCUCUUCUCCAUGAAAGUCCUAGAUGGUUUCUUCUUCCAAAAGAAGGCUGUUUGGAAUACACUGAAAAUCUCGUGGUGUAGCAACUUCAUCAAUUAACUUAGCUAGAUCUGGAUAAAUUGCUACAGCUUCUACACCAGCACUUGCUGCUUCACCUUGCACUUUUAUGAUAAGAUGACUUCUUAAACCUCAUGAACCAACCUCUGCUAGCUUCAAACUUUCCUGCAGCUUCCUCACUUCUCUCAGCCUUCAUACAAUGGCAGUUAUGGCCUUGCUCUGGAUUAGGUUUUGGCUUAAGGGAAUUUGUGGUUGGUUUGAUCCAGACCCCUAAAACUUUCUC